GAAACACACCUAGUUUUGUUUCUUUAUAUCUUUUUGCCAUGUAACCUCUAAGAGUAAAAAAUGUUUAUAAAUAUGUCCACUGACUCGGGUAAACAUUCGUGUGAAAAACAGAAUAUGCGAUUUUACUACAUUUCUCCUAAAAACAGUUCAGGAGAACCAAAGAGAUCUGCGUGAAUAAACAAAUAGACAUAGGUUAGGUUAUAUGCAGAUAAGAUUUGAUUAUAAUUCAGGAAUAAAGUACGGUAUUUAUGACCUUUGGUAACCAAUGAACACCAGUUGCGCCUUGAGAUCUAUCAGUAAGCCAAUGUAAUAGAAAUACCUCGAGGAAAAAUCAGUCACAUUGAGCUUAACAUUUAUUAUGAUAAAUCAUCUGCACACCGCCGCCACUAGGAGCCACAGCAACAAAAACCUAUUUAUCAGUUCUCACCUUUAAUUGUAAAAUGUACAAAUAUACUCUUUCUUUUUGCUAA